UCCCCCUUUGGCCUCUUCUAGUGUAAUUUGUCAUCAUUUUUGUGCACUCUUGGAUUGCAGAACAUGAUAUCAUGAAAGAAAAAGAACGGAGAAAUAGUGCAGAGCAAAAAGACAUCUGUGGCUGUGUAAUUUGUCAUCAUUUUUGUGCACUCUUGGAUUGCAGAACAUGAUAUCA